AUGAAUCCUUGUUUGCAGACUGUAAAUGCACUACAGAAAUAAAGAAAGUGUGUAUGAGAGCUGGCAGAGCAAAGGGGGCAAGCAGAGCCAAGCACCGUGAACAAGGCUCAGGGUCAUAGGGCACACAUGAUAGUGUAAUGCAGGAGGAGUGCGAGCUUUGUCACUGGGCAUUCAGGUCUUCCCUGGCAGGAGACUGCUUACGUGCCACACAGGACCCUGCCACCGUCAAGUCCACUCUCCUGCCUGUGCAGAGGUGGAAGCUGUUCCUAGGCUGAUUUGCAGCAUUAGAGGGCAGGCAGCCACAGCUGAAGGGACCAAAGACAUGCGAGACCCGGGGAUUUGUGUGUGGUGGGCAGAAGAUAACAAAGAGACGGAAGCAAAAACAAGCAUUUUUCAAAAACUGAAGUCAAUCAAAGGAGUAGUAGCAAUAAAGAGGAAGAUUGUUAUCAUGGGGUGAAGAUGAGGCAAUGCCAAGUAUAGUGCCGCGUACAGAGCCUGGAGCAAGAGUCUUAAAUCACAACAGAUCACAGUUUCUGAAGGGAACUCUGUUGGUGAAGAAUAAUCUUCUAUGAACUUGCUGGUGACCGGCUCUCACAUUACAAGAGUUGGCGGUUAAAACUGACGUGGAGAGUUUCUUGUACUGAUCUGGCAACGCUUUCUGCAAAAUACCAUCACAUCUCCCUUCAGCCCCAGAACUUCUGGCUGCUACGUUUUGUCUUAUCCCUCUGAUGUAUUUAAUCCCAAGUGUGACAUAAUUACAUCAUCAAUGAACUCUUUUUAAUUAACUGGCUGAGGGUAAACAUAAUUGAACUCAACUGUUUCAUAUUUUGAAGGGUGUGUACUUUUAUUUCUGCAUGAUUGUACUGGGGCAAGUGAGUUAUAAACA
rnacentral:lncRNA from 1 species